rnacentral:rRNA from 1 species
UACGGACGGGGCAAGCGUUGUUCGGAAUCAUUGGGCGUAAAGGGCGCGCAGGUGGUUCUGUAUGUCUACCGUGAAAGCGUACGGCUCAACCGUAUUUUGUCGGUAGAAACUGCAGGACUUGAGGCUGGGAGGGGCUGGUGGAAUUCCCUGUGUAGCGGUGAAAUGCGUAGAGAUGGGGGAGAACACUCGUGGCGAAGGCGGCCAGCUAGACCAGUUCUGACACUGAGGCGCGACAGCGUGGGGAGCAAACAGG